rnacentral:rRNA from 1 species
AGAGUUUGAUCCUGGCUCAGAACGAACGCUGGCGGCGUGUAUAAGACAUGCAAGUCGAGCGAGAUUUUUCGUUGUAGCACUACGAUGGAAAGUCUAGCGGCGAACGGGUGCUUAACACGUGCGCAACCUGCCAUGAAGUGGGGGAUAGCUCGCCGAAAGGCGAAUUAAUACCGCAUGUGAUUAGAGAGGACAUCCUUUCGAAAUUAAAGUCGGGGCAACCUGACGCUUCUUGUGGGGCCCGCGGCCUAUCAGCUAGUUGGUGAGGUAACGGCUCACCAAGGCUUUGACGGGUAGCUGGUCUGAGAGGACGACCAGCCACACUGGGACUGAGACACGGCCCAGACACCUACGGGUGGCAGCAGUCGAGAAUUUUUGACAAUGGGGGAAACCCUGAUCGAGCGACGCCGCGUGGAGGAUGAAGGUCUUCGGAUUGUAAACUCCUGUCAUUUGGGAACAAGGUGCACACGUUAACUGCGUGUGCAUUGAUAGUACCAGAAGAGGAAGAGACGGCUAACUCUGUGCCAGCAGCCGCGGUAAUACAGAGGUCUCAAGCGUUGUUCGGAUUCAUUGGGCGUAAAGGGUGCGUAGGCGGCGCGGUAAGUCGGGUGUGAAAUCUCGGAGCUUAACUCCGAAACUGCAUUCGAUACUGCCGUGCUUGAGGACUGGAGAGGAGACUGGGAUUUACGGUGUAGCGGUGAAAUGCGUAGAUAUCGUAAGGAAGACCAGUGGCGAAGGCGGGUCUCUGGACAGUUCCUGACGCUGAGGCACGAAGGCCAGGGGAGCAAACGGGAUUAGAUACCCCGGUAGUCC